AGACAGUCAAGAACAGCGUCAAGGACGGCUAUCCAGCUGUGCAUAGAACAGCUCUGGUUAUCAUAGAAAGGAGGGUGAUGACUGAAUCCAAUCAGUGUUGGAAGCUAUUGAGGAGUAUCAACACUAACGAUGGUGACAACGAUUAUACAGCUGGGAGAUGAGCUGCCUUACAGCUCCAGUCACCCAGAUGCUGCCUGACCAGCUGUGUGUUUCCGGCAAAUGGGUGUGUCAGUCACUACUGUUAAUGGAUCUGCUGAUCAAUUUGUAGGGAGUGCAUUAUGGAAUCAUAACAACUCCUGAUUCCUUGAUACUGUGUGUUAUCAUCGACGUCGAUGGGGACCUCGACAGCAUUUGAUGGUGUCGAGAGUAGCACGUGAUUUGGAUUUAAAUGAGGGAGAGUUGCGCAGUGUCAGCCUCACUCUCUCUUCCCAAUUCUCAUCUGGAUCCAGUGGCAAGACAGAGUCGAGACGGCUGGAGAUGGGACUAGGCGAGUGGAUGACCAGGACAUCUUCUGUGGCUUGUCCUGCUCUACACGUUCCACGACGCUUGCAGAGACCGCCUUCUUGACUGUUGGACCUUCCAUUGGUCUCGUCCGCUCAAUCCGCCAGAGUCUGUCUUCACAUACUGGGGUAGACAACUCCCUAUCUCACAGAGGGUUUGAGACCCGUCGGCUGCCCUCACCUGGUUUAGCUGGCUUGUCGAAGCCGUUGCCCGUGGUGUGGCCGCUGUCGCAUGCAAACAGCUACGGGGAGCCACAGGUGAGAGCUGAGUCCAGGUGGGGACCAAAGGUGGACUAACCGCCUUGAAAAGGACGCGACAUGUUCCCCCACCAGAGGUGCUACCCCUCCCUGACACCCCAUAUACCCCAUGUUGGAUGACAAGGUCCAGUUGGAUGGUAGAAUUCAUAAUUCAGCCAAAACCAAGUCCUGUGAACAUGCACAAUGAGGUCCCUAUGAGCACCUCCCACAUUCCAAAGGCAAACAGGUUAGUAGGUUAAUUGGUCACAUCAUGUAACUGGGUGGCGUGGUCUCACUGGGCCAGAAGGACCUGUUGCCAUGCUGUAUCUCUAAAUAUAAUAAAUACUAAUAACACAGCAAUAAAAUUGAACACUAAUAUUAGCAACCUAAUAAUCUUUAUAAACUUAGCAUCUCAGGAGGCAGCCAUUAGCCAGUUCACUUCACCAGGGCACCGGAUGCAGCAAGACUAUUGGAGCCUGACAAUAUCCCAGAUGGAGUCCUGAAAAUCAGAACUAUCUGGCUGAGUACUCUUCCAGUACAAAUCUGGCAUCUCUCCAGUAAGGUGGAAAAUUACCUAGUUACAUCCUGUCCUCAAUAAUGUGCAAAUCCAACCUAACAAGUUACCAUUCAAUCGUCAAUGCUAAAAAAAAAAGCUGGUUUGGGGGGCAUUUUUGGAGGUUUAGAAACUGCAGGAGAUAAGCAACUUUUGAACUUAGUUUCUGUGACAACUACUGAUCUGCUUCGGCCAGUUAUUGACUUCUGGGAUGUGCUUUGGUAAAUCGAGGAAGAGGAAAGAAAACAAUAAGUGUCUCAAACCUCAUUGCAUAUCAAGGAUCAAUUUUAUUCACCAUAAACUAUA